rnacentral:rRNA from 1 species
UAGUGUAGGUGGUAAAGUAAGUCAGUUGUGAAAUCCUUCUGCUUAACAGAAGAAUUGCAAUUGAUACUACUUAACUAGAGUUCGGUAGAGGAGAGCGGAAUUCUCGGUGUAGCGGUGAAAUGCGUAGAUAUCGAGAAGAACACCAGUGGCGAAGGCGGCUCUCUGGCCUAGGACUGACGCUGAAGCGCGAAAGCGUGGGGGAGCGAAACG